UAUUACAAUGAAGAGUUUGAUCCUGGCUCAGGAUGAACGCUAGCUACAGGCUUAACACAUGCAAGUCGAGGGGCAGCAUGGUCUUAGCUUGCUAAGGCCGAUGGCGACCGGCGCACGGGUGAGUAACACGUAUCCAACCUGCCGUCUACUCUUGGACAGCCUUCUGAAAGGAAGAUUAAUACAAGAUGGCAUCAUGAGUCCGCAUGUUCACAUGAUUAAAGGUAUUCCGGUAGACGAUGGGGAUGCGUUCCAUUAGAUAGUAGGCGGGGUAACGGCCCACCUAGUCUUCGAUGGAUAGGGGUUCUGAGAGGAAGGUCCCCCACAUUGGAACUGAGACACGGUCCAAACUCCUACGGGAGGCAGCAGUGAGGAAUAUUGGUCAAUGGGCGAGAGCCUGAACCAGCCAAGUAGCGUGAAGGAUGACUGCCCUAUGGGUUGUAAACUUCUUUUAUAAAGGAAUAAAGUCGGGUAUGGAUACCCGUUUGCAUGUACUUUAUGAAUAAGGAUCGGCUAACUCCGUGCCAGCAGCCGCGGUAAUACGGAGGAUCCGAGCGUUAUCCGGAUUUAUUGGGUUUAAAGGGAGCGUAGAUGGAUGUUUAAGUCAGUUGUGAAAGUUUGCGGCUCAACCGUAAAAUUGCAGUUGAUACUGGAUAUCUUGAGUGCAGUUGAGGCAGGCGGAAUUCGUGGUGUAGCGGUGAAAUGCUUAGAUAUCACGAAGAACUCCGAUUGCGAAGGCAGCCUGCUAAGCUGCAACUGACAUUGAGGCUCGAAAGUGUGGGUAUCAAACAGGAUUAGAUACCCUGGUAGUCCACACGGUAAACGAUGAAUACUCGCUGUUUGCGAUAUACUGCAAGCGGCCAAGCGAAAGCGUUAAGUAUUCCACCUGGGGAGUACGCCGGCAACGGUGAAACUCAAAGGAAUUGACGGGGGCCCGCACAAGCGGAGGAACAUGUGGUUUAAUUCGAUGAUACGCGAGGAACCUUACCCGGGCUUAAAUUGCAGAUGAAUUACGGUGAAAGCCGUAAGCCGCAAGGCAUCUGUGAAGGUGCUGCAUGGUUGUCGUCAGCUCGUGCCGUGAGGUGUCGGCUUAAGUGCCAUAACGAGCGCAACCCUUGUUGUCAGUUACUAACAGGUUCCGCUGAGGACUCUGACAAGACUGCCAUCGUAAGAUGUGAGGAAGGUGGGGAUGACGUCAAAUCAGCACGGCCCUUACGUCCGGGGCUACACACGUGUUACAAUGGGGGGNNNNNNNNNNACGGCCCUUACGUCCGGGGCUACACACGUGUUACAAUGGGGGGUACAGAGGGCCGCUACCACGCGAGUGGAUGCCAAUCCCCAAAACCUCUCUCAGUUCGGACUGGAGUCUGCAACCCGACUCCACGAAGCUGGAUUCGCUAGUAAUCGCGCAUCAGCCACGGCGCGGUGAAUACGUUCCCGGGCCUUGUACACACCGCCCGUCAAGCCAUGGGAGCCGGGGGUACCUGAAGUGCGUAACCGCGAGGAGCGCCCUAGGGUAAAACUGGUGACUGGGGCUAAGUCGUAACAAGGUAGCCGUACCGGAAGGUGCGGCUGGAACACCUCCUUUCU
rnacentral:rRNA from 1 species